CAUGCAAGUCGAACGGCAGCACGGGAGCAAUCCGUGGUGGCGAGUGGCGAACGGGUGAGUAAUAUAUCGGAACGUGCCCAGUCGUGGGGAUAACGUAGCGAAAGCUACGCUAAUACCGCAUACGAUCUAUGGAUGAAAGCGGGGGAUCGCAAGACCUCGCGCGAUUGGAGCGGCCGAUAUCAGAUUAGGUAGUUGGUGAGGUAAAGGCUCACCAAGCCGACGAUCUGUAGCUGGUCUGAGAGGACGACCAGCCACACUGGGACUGAGACACGGUCCAGACUCCUACGGGAGGCAGCAGUGGGGAAUAUUGGACAAUGGGCGAAAGCCUGAUCCAGCCAUGCCGCGUGUGUGAAGAAGGUCUUCGGAUUGUAAAGCACUUUAAGUUGGGAGGAAGGGUAGUAACCUAAUACGUUGCUACUUUGACGUUACCGACAGAAUAAGCACCGGCUAACUACGUG
rnacentral:rRNA from 1 species